rnacentral:rRNA from 1 species
AUUGAACGCUGGCGGCAGGCCUAACACAUGCAAGUCGAACGGUAACAGGAAGAAGCUUGCUUCUUUGCUGACGAGUGGCGGACGGGUGAGUAAUGUCUGGGAAACUGCCUGAUGGAGGGGGAUAACUACUGGAAACGGUAGCUAAUACCGCAUAACGUCGCAAGACCAAAGAGGGGGACCUUCGGGCCUCUUGCCAUCGGAUGUGCCCAGAUGGGAUUAGCUAGUAGGUGGGGUAACGGCUCACCUAGGCGACGAUCCCUAGCUGGUCUGAGAGGAUGACCAGCCACACUGGAACUGAGACACGGUCCAGACUCCUACGGGAGGCAGCAGUGGGGAAUAUUGCACAAUGGGCGCAAGCCUGAUGCAGCCAUGCCGCGUGUAUGAAGAAGGCCUUCGGGUUGUAAAGUACUUUCAGCGGGGAAGAAGGGAGUAAAGUUAAUACCUUUGCUCAUUGACGUUACCCACAGAAGAAGCACCGGCUAACUCCGUG